UUAUCAAACUCAUUGAGUUUCAACAUUGUAACGCCCAGGAAUUAGAAUUAUUCUGUGGCACAGGCUAAUACUUCAUGUGGUUUGUCAUAGGGACUUCGUUGUAUUAUCGCUCAAAGCUUUUUCACGAAAAUAUUCUAAAAUUAUGAAGCAAGAUACGGCGGUGAGAAAGCGCAAGGUUGAGCAAGAAGAAGAAAAACCAUCUGUUUACGCAAGAGCUUUCAAAGGGGAAUCAGAAUGGGAAGAUAAAGAUGAGUUUUUAGAUGUUAUAUACUGGUUGAAACAGAUCCUGGGACUACUGCUCGGUUGUGUCUGGGGAAUACUACCACUGAAGGGAUUCGUAGGACUUUUACUAUUUUUCGCAAUAAACUCACUGAUAGUAUAUGUAUACUUCAAUUCCUUCCAAAAAGUUGAUGAGGAAGAGUAUGGUGGACUAGGAGAAAUACUUAAAGAAGGCCUUAUGACAUCAUUUGCAACAUUUUUAGUGACUUGGAUUAUAUUCUACUCAGCCAUACAUACGGACUAGCAUUAACUAUAUAUUAGGAUUAAUAUUACACCACAAAGGAACACUCAGAGGACCAAAGAUGAUAAACAAACAAAUAGAUGGAGUAACACAACAUGAAAUGUUUUCUUUACCGUGCCAUGAAAAAUGGAAAAUGAGACUAAUGCUCUUAUCUGAUGCUCUGAGCUAUGCACAUUUUGCAGUAAGCAAUAUGAUCAGCAAAUCACUUGUUCAACAUGGCUGAUUUUUAUUUAUUUACAAACAAUCACUGGAUCUUGUAUCUUGCCAUGGGUAUUCAACCUUAUAAAAUAACUGUAUUCCUUGUUCAUUGCUCAUUGUUUAUUAGUGCUCCAUUGGCUUAAAGCAACACAUUUCAAAUGGCUGAAAAUCGAAUAGCGAAAGACGCGGGGCAAGCAAGCGGUGUUUUUUUCACAGGAAAAAUUAAACAAAUACCCUUGCUUGACCCCCUACUCCCCCCCCCCCUUAAAAAUAAAUCCAGAUUUGUAUUAAACCCAAUGGAGUCAGAUUUUGGUCAAUUUUUUCC
rnacentral:misc_RNA from 1 species